UACGAAGGGGGCUAGCGUUGCUCGGAAUUACUGGGCGUAAAGGGUGCGUAGGCGGCUUUUUAAGUCAGGGGUGAAAUCCUGGAGCUCAACUCCAGAACUGCCUUUGAUACUGAAGAUCUUGAGUUCGGGAGAGGUGAGUGGAACUGCGAGUGUAGAGGUGAAAUUCGUAGAUAUUCGCAAGAACACCAGUGGCGAAGGCGGCUCACUGGCCCGAUACUGACGCUGAGGCACGAAAGCGUGGGGAGCAAACAGG
rnacentral:rRNA from 1 species